rnacentral:rRNA from 1 species
UGGGGAAUCUUGCGCAAUGGGCGAAAGCCUGACGCAGCAACGCCGCGUGCGGGAUGACGGCCUUCGGGUUGUAAACCGCUUUCAGUGGGGACGAAAUCAGACGGUACCCACAGAAGAAGCCCCGGCCAACUACGUGCCAGCAGCCGCGGUAACACGUAGGGGGCGAGCGUUGUCCGGAAUCAUUGGGCGUAAAGAGCUCGUAGGCGGCUCGGUAAGUCGGGUGUGAAACCCCCAGGCUCAACCUGGGGACGCCACCCGAUACUGCCGUGGCUAGAGUCCAGUAGGGGAGUGUGGAAUUCCCGGUGUAGCGGUGAAAUGCGCAGAUAUCGGGAGGAACACCAGCGGCGAAGGCGGCACUCUGGGCUGGAACUGACGCUGAGGAGCGAAAGCGUGGGUAGCAAACA